rnacentral:rRNA from 1 species
GAUGAACGCUGGCGGCGUGCUUAACACAUGCAAGUCGAACGAACCUUCGGGUUAGUGGCGGACGGGUGAGUAACGCGUGGGAAUCUGCCCUCAGGAGGGGGAUAACGGUUGGAAACGACCGCUAAUACCCCAUAUGCCGAGAGGUGAAAUGAAUUUCGCCUGAGGAUGAGCCCGCGUCUGAUUAGCUAGUUGGUGAGGUAAUGGCUCACCAAGGCAUCGAUCAGUAGCUGGUCUGAGAGGAUGAUCAGCCACACUGGGACUGAGACACGGCCCAGACUCCUACGGGAGGCAGCAGUGGGGAAUUUUCCGCAAUGGGCGAAAGCCUGACGGAGCAACACCGCGUGAGGGACGAAGGCCUCUGGGCUGUAAACCUCUUUUCUCAAGGAAGAAGAUAUGACGGUACUUGAGGAAUAAGCCACGGCUAAUUCCGUGCCAGCAGCCGCGGUAAUACGGGAGUGGCAAGCGUUAUCCGGAAUUAUUGGGCGUAAAGCGUCCGCAGGCGGCCUUUCAAGUCUGCUGUUAAAACGUGGAGCUUAACUCCAUCAGGGCAGUGGAAACUGAUUGGCUUGAGUAUGGUAGGGGCAGAGGGAAUCCCCGGUGUAGCGGUGAAAUGCGUAGAUAUCGGGAAGAACACCAGUGGCGAAGGCGCUCUGCUGGGCCAUUACUGACGCUCAUGACGAAAGCCAGGGGAGCGAAAGGGAUUAGAUACCCCUGUAGUCCUGGCCGUAAACGAUGAACACUAGGUGUCGGGGGAAUCGACCCCUUCGGUGUCGUAGCUAACGCGUUAAGUGUUCCGCCUGGGGAGUACGCACGCAAGUGUGAAACUCAAAGGAAUUGACGGGGGCCCGCACAAGCGGUGGAGUAUGUGGUUUAAUUCGAUGCAACGCGAAGAACCUUACCAGGGCUUGACAUCCUGCGAACCUUUAAGAAAUUAGAGGGUGCCUUCGGGAACGCAGUGACAGGUGGUGCAUGGCUGUCGUCAGCUCGUGUCGUGAGAUGUUGGGUUAAGUCCCGCAACGAGCGCAACCCACGUUUUUAGUUGCCAGCAUUUAGUUGGGCACUCUAGAAAGACCGCCGGUGAUAAACCGGAGGAAGGUGUGGAUGACGUCAAGUCAUCAUGCCCCUUACGUCCUGGGCUACUCACGUACUACAAUGCUACGGACAAAGGGCAGCAAACUCGCGAGAGCUAGCAAAUCCCAUAAACCGUGGCUCAGUUCAGAUCGUAGGCUGCAACUCGCCUACGUGAAGUAGGAAUCGCUAGUAAUCGCAGGUCAGCAUACUGCGGUGAAUACGUUCCCGGGCCUUGUACACACCGCCCGUC